CUAGUAUGCGCUCGAACUCGGUAAUGCGCACAUCAUGGGCGAGAGUGGGCGCGCAAGGCCGAACGAACAAACAGGUUGUGUACCACUGGGCGGUGGGUGGUGGUGGGCGGUAUUUGGAGGUGGAGGUAUUAGCCUGGAGGUGGGUGCGUUUUGUGGCAAAUAUCCGAAAGUUGUGAAUAACCCAAAAGUGCGUGCCCCUGAUUGGGCCAAGGUGGGAGUACCAUAUCAGUCAGAUCAACGAUUCCACACGGCGUAAACAAACACACACACACACCACAGAAACAGAGUGCCAAAGUUUACUGUCACGUGCUUGUCAACAACGUCUUGGCGUUUUAUAACGCAACGCCCUGACCCCGGACACGAUGAAGCUUUACAAGUGACCCCCGGUUCCUCCUGGACUUUGCACCCGGCCAAAGGCAACUACUACCGCCACUAACUGGGCUGAAUUGAACUCAAGUCCCACAGCGCUACCAUCAUACUUUUAGGACGAUGCCAGGACACGGCCUGACGGCAUUUCCUACAGGGCACGAAGGACAUACCCAUCGCCAUCCUUGUGCACAUCCACAUCCUCGCCUACAUCGAAUGAGAGCGCCCACAAGGGAUACAGUUGUUAACGUGGCCAAGGAGCAGCGACUAUGGCGGGGACAAAAACACAAACAUGGUUGCCGCAGGACGCUUGCAGUUGAAGGAGCAGAGCACUUUAUGUGCAUAUAAUGUCCGCUCUCACCCAAAGCACACACCCACACUCGCACACACACUCGCGCACACACACACACACGCGGAGAGGCAGGACCCUUUGAGCACGGUGUCGGCCAAGUUGCGGGGAAUUGUUAAUAUUGUCUGGGCCUGUAAGCAGCAUUUACAUGCUGGCCGACACCACGUACUACAUACGUCCUGCCUGAUGGACGGUCUCCGGGAUACGGAAUCCUUUCCGUACGGAUGAUGCUCCGGCUUUAAGUAGGCCCGCCUGGUAACAGAUAUUGUUUUAAAAAUAUGUACAUCCUUGCAUUUUGCAGAUGUUGAAUUAACCGACUAUACCCGACAGUUUUCAUUAGAAAAUGGAGGAUGGACACAAGUGCCGGAGUGGCCGGUUCUACAAAUCCCAGUGCACUCCAUUCAUUUCGACACCCUGUCCAGACGAAACUCCGGAUUUUGGCUUGGCCCACUUGACCGGGCAAAAACAGUGGACCAACUGAUAAUGAUGCUGUUGGCGACUUUGUGUUUGCUCAUGCCGGUAGCCUUGUGCCCAGGUCUUUGGUCCUUGGUCCUUGUUACUGGGUCCUUGGUCCUCGGUCCUUGGUCCAUGCAGUGGCUGGCUUUGAUGUUUCGCCAGGAUGAUGAAUUAUAUUUGACAUCUAUGUGCUUGGGCGGCGGUCCUCCUCCUCCUGCUCCGUCGUUGCUAACAUGUGUGUACCCUGCCACAUUUGAUGCCACUCAAACUACAAAUACAUACGUGUGCAUGCGCACCAAAAAACCACCCAGUUAUCCAUGCACCCACCCACCUACACUCGCGUCUGAUGAGAGCCGCACUUGGAUAUGUUUAUUUUACUGUCAAAACAUUAAAGUAAACUCCCGCCGAUGCCGCCGCACGGGGUUGAUUGUUAUCAGGGGGCGGUGUCGACAGCGUUGUACCUAUGCGAGGGUGGAAAACCGAUGGAAGGACCAUGCCGGGUACUUCGUCCUCUUGGCCACCUUCGGUUUGACUCCGUAGACAAGUCUAUUUGCAUAUGUUGACGGCAUACUCUAACCAGAUCCUGGUGGAUUUCCUGCUUAACGGCCGUGGCCAUCACAACAGCCAUCCCUUUGCACAGGACCUUCACACAUGCGGCUGUGUGGCAUGCCUUUUUGACAACUCAUAACAAUCACUCAUCAUAAACAAAGACGUUUUUUAUGCGAGAAGAUCGUGUGAAAAAGAAAAGCGAGAUGUGGAAAGCCCAAAUGCCGAUGCAUUCUCGAUUCGUGGCAUUAAGACAAAAGUAAACUUGAUUUUGGUAUGAAAUUGAUUCAUUCAUUUUCGAUCCAUUGAGUCAGAUUCUUAUCCGAUGGAUGAGCCGGUCAGCAUCACCACUUCCAACUGUGUGCACAUCCAACAGGUAGUCGAACCAGACAAACUGUCUCCACUUGCAAUGGAGUCUCGUUUCCAUCCUCUUCGCCCCUUUCAACUAAUAUUUGACUGGGAAUUCAGCGAGAGCCGGGAAUCCUUUGAUGGCAGGAUAUCGUCAUUCAGCUUCGGAAAAAUAAUUUAUUCGAUAAAUUUCGAUGUUUCCAUAGACCAUUAUGUCAGCUAGAGAACAUGAUAUCUCACCAAACAACUGUUGAAUGAUUCUUGAUGGACUGGAUGAAAGCAACUGGAUUUAAUUAUGUUAAUUUGUAAUUUUAAUAUGUUAUCAAAAAAAAAACAUCGAAGUAGGAUGGAGUUUUACUGAUGCGCUUUCCAAUCGAAUCGAAUUUGGUUGAUUUUUAUUAGCAUUCUUAUUGGAUUACUUUUUGUAAAAACACAUAUGAUUGCAUAAUAUAAUUGUAUUAAAUGUGUAUUUUUGUAAACCUUAUAUAGUUUAAACAUUUAAACGAACAAAUUGUUAAACAUGGCCAAUGAUUACAUGCUAAACCAAAAAUUUUUGCUGUAUUUGGACAAUUGUAUUUAUAGGUACUGAUUAGUUGAUAUUAAUAUUAAACAUAAACAAGAAACAUGAUGUUAUUCAUAAAUUCAAUCACAUCCAAAUGACCUAUCGAAAUUAAAUAUAUGUUACAAGAUAUAACAAUGUGAAAUUGUACUAAAAUUGCAAUGGUUUUCAAUAAGUUGACUCACAGGAGAAAAUAAUGUAUACAUUGGAAUUUUAUAAGAACAUAUUGUUCACAGCUCUACGCUUUUUUGAGGAUUAUCAUAUAUUACAAAAAAAGAAUUAUUGUCUUUAAUUUUAUAUAAAAUUUUUAAAAUAUUCAUAAUCAAAUAUAUGUUGUUGUUAGUUUCAUGAACACAAUGAAAAAAAAAACAGAAAAAUUCCCAUCCAAUAAUAAUUUAAAAUAUAUUGGAAUAAUUACUUUCACUCAAUUUAUUAAGUGAUCAAGACAUCUUAUGCAGAGAUCUGAUUUUAAUUUAGAGUUCAGUUUCCGAUCUUAACAAUUAAAUAAAUUACUUUGCUAAUUAUUUAACUCGAUCCACUUAGUUAAAGAUGAUCACGCAUACGCAACCAUUGCGCAUUAAUUUACACAUAUGCCUAAGAGUAUGCAACGUAUUCUUUUAUGCACUUUCUAAAGCAUACUUAUGUGGUUAAUUACGUGCUGCAGCAUAUUUUCUUUCCCAUAAAUGUCUAUCGCAGUUUAGGUGUGAUCUCAAAUUUACUUUUGUAUAAAUCAAUAACUAUUCUAUUAUCGAUAAGAUGUUGUUCAAAAGGGCUCUCUUCUUAGUCGAUCAUAGAAAGUGAUCAUAAACUUGUAUAUCAUGUAACAUACAUUAGAGAAAAGAAUUCGUCCACUGCCAACAUAAAGUCAUAGAUACUCAAAACUGUUAAAAAAAAGUAUCAUUUAAAUUGUUAAAUACUGUAAUUCUUUUAACAUUGCAUUUAAAUUAUAAGAUCAAAUUUACCCAAUUUUAAAUAUAAUCGGCUAUAGUAUCUUAAGUUCUUUUAAAUGCUUGUGACUUAAAAUUUCGAUUUCACACAGUAACUUUUGUGAUUUAAAUCUUUAAUUAGGCUAUUAGGUAUUACAAGUUGAGUUAACAAGAGUUAUGCGAAUUAUAUAUUCAUUAUUUGAUAACAAUUUUAUUGAUACAUCACAUACAAUACGUCGUAAAGCUCAAAUAUUUUAAAGACAACUAAUUUGUAGGGGGACAAUGCUCAAUCACCUUAAUACCCACAAUAAAUUUGAUCCACUUAUUGUGCAUUGUUAUAAGUCAUAAUAACCCGAAACCGAGCUGGUCGAUAAAGGACGGCUGCGAAUAUAUUUAUUGUUUUCCGCUUACUACCUGAAUACGAAUUAGCAUUGGGACCCACCCCUCCGCCCCUGCCAGCCAUAUACAUAUGUAGAAACCUAUCUGUAUACGAAAGUAAUGUCUUGAGCAGACCCUGGAUCGUGCCCCAUAAAUCAUGCCAAACUGCGUUUGGGUAUAGAAAGUCAAAGUAAACUGCCAUCACUUAAAGUCAUUCAAGCAUUUAUUUAUGUCAAAACAUUGUCCGCUUAGCUGCUGCGAACCUUUUGACAGUCCCCGAGGAGGUAGGGAUUCGGGAUCGGAAUCGGGAUUGGGAUCGAGAGUCGGAGGGGUCAGUUGGCCAGUCGAAUGUAUAACUCAAUUAUAGGCGGCUGUGUGCUCACCUCGCAGCGGGGUGUCGGCGCAUUAGCCACUCCUCCAUAUCCUGGCCCUCAGCCCUCGGUUCGCCGUGAGUUCCCUUUUUAGCGCUAGACCGGAUCGGAUAAUGCACAUGCGGCGAUCGGGGUCAUUGCGGUUUUCGGGAUCUCCAGUCUGCAGUCCCGAAUCUGCUGGACGAGAUAACCCCGACUAGACUGCAUAGAUGUCAUUAGAAACCGGGCACCAACACGAUCCUCAAUGAAAUAACCUCUCUGUUAGUUUGUCUUUAUUAUCUCUUCCCUGGAGGGGGGAUUCCUGUGUGGCCCGCAUCGGAUGGCACAUUGUGACCACGAUCGACCUCCAAGGUACAGGCCUCCCUGUACAUGAUUCUGUUUAACGAGAACAAUGUUCUUGCAAUUCUGCAAACGAUGGCCACACCGCCGUUGCUUCGUUGGCGAUCGCCUUUACUUACAGUUUCUGGACCGGAUCUGGGGAGGAUCGGGGCGAUCCGCAACCAGGUGAGGGGAUAACAACCACACGAUGGCACCGAAUCGUGCAAAAGUACAGCGACGGAUGGCAGGUGGCGCCGAUGCGAAUUUGAAUAUGGAAUGUCAGUCGGGCAUAUGGCUAGCAAAUUUGUAUUGUGUGGGGGGAAACCUUGUUAUGGGCUAAAAAUAGGGAUAACACACUCAAAUUUACAUAAAAUUUAUAAACUUCUGUUAUCAAUUUGUAGGGCCAGCUUUCUUAUUGGAUUACAUUUACCUUUCAAUCUGUUUAUAUUUAUAUUUUAUAGCAAAAGAACUAAGAUUUAAAGCUUGUCCUUACACUUAUACUUACUUGUUACUUACACUUACACAUAAUCAUACUUCAUAAAUAUUCCAUUCCACAUUAAUUAUCAGAAGACAUAAAAUAAAUUAUUUAAAAGCUCU
ensembl:ncRNA lncRNA:CR32111 long non-coding RNA:CR32111